rnacentral:rRNA from 1 species
GAUGAACGCUGGCUACAGGCUUAACACAUGCAAGUCGAGGGGAAACGACGGGGAAGCUUGCUUCCUCGGGCGUCGACCGGCGCACGGGUGAGUAACGCGUAUCCAACCUGCCUCUGACUGAGGGAUAACCCGUCGAAAGUCGGCCUAAUACCUCAUGGCAUCGUCUGCGGACAUCCAACGACGAUUAAAGAUUUCAUCGGUCAGGGAUGGGGAUGCGUCUGAUUAGCUAGUUGGCGGGGUAACGGCCCACCAAGGCGACGAUCAGUAGGGGUUCUGAGAGGAAGGUCCCCCACAUUGGAACUGAGACACGGUCCAAACUCCUACGGGAGGCAGCAGUGAGGAAUAUUGGUCAAUGGGCGGGAGCCUGAACCAGCCAAGUAGCGUGCAGGAAGACGGCCCUAUGGGUUGUAGACUGCUUUUAUGCGGGGAUAAAGUGAGG